CAGCACCUCAAGUGGUCAGGAUGAUUAUUGGGCCUAAAGCAUCCGUAGCCGGCUCUGUAAGUUUUCGGUUAAAUCUGUACGCUCAACGUACAGGCUGCCGGGAAUACUGCAAAGCUAGGGAGUGGGAGAGGUAGACGGUACUCGGUAGGAAGGGGUAAAAUCCUUUGAUCUAUUGAUGACCACCUGUGGCGAAGGCGGUCUACCAGAACACGUCCGACGGUGAGGGAUGAAAGCUGGGGGAGCAAACCGGAUUAGAUACCCGCGUAGUCC
rnacentral:rRNA from 1 species